UACGGGGGGUGCGAGCGUUGUCCGGAAUCACUGGGCGUAAAGCGCGCGCAGGCGGCACUCUAAGUACGUCGUGAAAUAUCCCGGCUCAACCGGGAGGGUGCGAUGUAGACUAGGGAGCUAGAGGUCGGUAGAGGGGGGUGGAAUUGCUGGUGUAGCGGUGAAAUGCGUAGAGAUCAGCAGGAACACCCGUGGCGAAGGCGGCCCCCUGGGCCGUACCUGACGCUGAGGCGCGAAGGCUAGGGGAGCGAACGGG
rnacentral:rRNA from 1 species